CCUCUCUCAGGGUGGCACAUGGAGAGUUUCCAGUACUCUAUCAGUCUCAGCUAUGGGAGAGAGAGUCAAGCAGAGGCCUAGCCAUUCCAUUCCUAGCUUAGGCAGUGGCUAGCGAGUGGAAGGCAAUCUGCUAUAAGU
rnacentral:snoRNA from 1 species